rnacentral:rRNA from 1 species
GAAGCGCCCGAAGCCGCGAGGCGACGGGCGUUCUCGCCGGAUGUAGGAACCGACCCGGGGACCGCCGGGGCAACCCGGCGCCCCCGAGACGGGGCGAACCACGGUGAAAUGACGGAUCGUCGGCCCCGCGCCGGCGACUCGCCGAAUGAGUUUCUGACCUAUCAACUCGAGACGGCGGGGUAGAGGCCCGCCGCGGUAACGACGGGUAACGGGGAAUCAGGGUUCGAUUCCGGAGAGGGAGCCCGAGAAACGGCUACCACUUCCAAGGAAGGCAGCAGGCGCGCAACUUACCCUAAUCUCGAUUCGAGGAGGUAGUGACAAGAAAUACCGAUGCGGGACCCUACGGGUGCCGCGUUCGGAAUGAGUACGAUUCGAACCACCUAACGAGGAACGAUCGGAGGGCAAGUCUGGUGCCAGCAGCCGCGGUG